UACGUAGGGUGCGAGCGUUAAUCGGAAUUACUGGGCGUAAAGGGUGCGCAGGCGGCGUCGCAAGUCAGGCGUGAAAUCCCCGGGCUUAACCUGGGAACUGCACUUGAAACUACGAUGCUGGAGUAUGGCAGAGGGAGGUGGAAUUCCACGUGUAGCGGUGAAAUGCGUAGAGAUGUGGAGGAACACCGAUGGCGAAGGCGGUUCUCUGGGAAUAUCCUGACGCUGAGGAGCGAAAGCGUGGGGAGCGAACAGG
rnacentral:rRNA from 1 species